rnacentral:rRNA from 1 species
GACGAACGCUGGCGGCGUGCCUAAUACAUGCAAGUCGAGCGGACUGAUUAAGAGCUUGCUCUUAUGACGUUAGCGGCGGACGGGUGAGUAACACGUGGGCAACCUGCCCUGUAGAUCGGGAUAACACCGAGAAAUCGGUGCUAAUACCGGGUAAUAUCUGAGAUCACAUGAUCUUAGGUUAAAAGAUGGCUCCGGCUAUCACUACAGGAUGGGCCCGCGGCGCAUUAGCUAGUUGGUAAGGUAAUGGCUUACCAAGGCGACGAUGCGUAGCCGACCUGAGAGGGUGAUCGGCCACACUGGGACUGAGACACGGCCCAGACUCCUACGGGAGGCAGCAGUAGGGAACCUUCCGCAAUGGACGAAAGUCUGACGGAGCAACGCCGCGUGAGUGAUGAAGGGUUUCGGCUCGUAAAGCUCUGUUGUUAGGGAAGAAACAGUACCGAACGAACUAGGUCGGUACCUUGACGGUACCUAACCAGAAAGCCACGGCUAACUACGUG